UGACAUUUGAAAGUUGUCAAAUGGUUAUAUGUGCUGAAGAGAGUUGAGCAUCAGAGCUCCAUAAAUGUAUAGGGCAAAUACUACUAUUUGAUUCUACCUUGAACUCAGAACGAGAAAUGAAGAAAAAGGGAGGAGUCAGCAGGGAAGCCUUACAUAUUAAAUGUCUACCGUUCAGAACAGCAGCUGAGCAAGCCAAGCAACAAAGCCAAGAUGGAGCUGCUACUGUAACUUAAUGGCAGAUUGCCCCAGGGACCAGGAGAAGGAGGGGAAGAAAAUCAGUUUUGGAAGACGAAAUAAAUAUUGGACUUCUACAUUUAGUGAUAUUAACCUGCUUAAGGGUCCUGUAGGAAGAAAUACACAGAAGUAAUGACAGAUGACAAGGAAUGGAAGGCGGACAUUAACCAUGUCUUUCAGGUACCAAAGAACUCUUCUUACACACAGGCAUAGAUCAGAUUCCCCAUCAACUUAGUUUUCUAAUUUUACCCUUCAGUAUCCUUUUAAUGGAUUACCCAAAACAAAUUUUCUUGGAGCUGUCAAUU